GAUGAACGCUGGCGGCGUGCCUAAUACAUGCAAGUCGAACGAGUGGCGAACGGGUGAGUAACACGUGGGAAACCUACCCUUCAGCGGGGGAUAACCAUCGGAAACGAUGACUAUUACCGCAUACUGAAGGAUGGUCCCGGGGUGCAUUAGCUAGACGGUUGGGGAACGGCCUACCGGGGCUUUGAUGCAUAGCCGACCUGAGAGGGUGACCUGGCACAUUGGGACUGAGAUAAGGCCCAGACGACUACGGGAGGCAGAAGUGGGGGAUAUUGCACAAGGGGCGAAAGCCGGAUGCAGCGACGCCGAGGGGGGGAUGAAGGCUUUAGGGUUGUAUCCCUCUUUCGCGAUCGAUAGGGUAGGUGGAGAAGAAGCGCCGGCUAACUACGUGCCAGCAGCCGCGGUAAUAC
rnacentral:rRNA from 1 species